UAGGGAAUCUUCCGCAAUGGACGCAAGUCUGACGGAGCAACGCCGCGUGAGUGAAGAAGGAUUUCGGUUCGUAAAACUCUGUUGUUAGAGAAGAACAGCGCAUAGAGUAACUGUUAUGCGUGUGACGGUAUCUAACCAGAAAGCCACGGCUAACUACGUGCAAGCAGCCGCGGUAAUACGUAGGUGGCAAGCGUUGUCCGGAUUGAUUGGGCGUAAAGCGAGCGCAGGCGGUCAAUUAAGUCUGAUGGGAAAGCCCCCGGCUCAACCGGGGAGGGGCAUUGGAAACUGGUUGACUUGAGUGCAGAAGAGGAGAGUGGAAUUCCAUGUGUAGCGGUGAAAUGCGUAGAUAUAUGGAGGAACACCAGUGGCGAAGGCGACUCUCUGGUCUGUAACUGACGCUGAGGCUCGAAAGCGUGGGUAGCAAACAGG
rnacentral:rRNA from 1 species